rnacentral:rRNA from 1 species
UACAGAGGGUGCAAGCGUUGUUCGGAAUUAUUGGGCGUAAAGGGCGUGUAGGCGGUUUGCUAAGUCAUGUGUGAAAUCCCCCGGCUUAACCGAGGAACGACGCAUGAUACUGGCAAGCUAGAGUACCAAAGAGGGGGGUGGAAUUCCCGGUGUAGCGGUGAAAUGCGUAGAUAUCGGAAGGAACACCUGUGGCGAAAGCGGCUCACUGGACCAUAACUGACGCUGAGGCACGAAAGCUAGGGGAGCAAACAGG